rfam:Schistosoma haematobium scaffold929_20, whole genome shotgun sequence.
AUCCGGCUGACGAGUCCCAAAUAAAACGAAAAGCGCGUCCUGGAU